GACGAACGCUGGCGGCGUGCUUAACACAUGCAAGUCGAACGAAGUGGCGAACGGGUGAGUAACGCGUAAUCAACCUGCCCUUCAGAGGGGGAAACCACUUGGAAACGACUCCUAAUACCGCAUACUGAAGGAGGGGAUUGCGUCUGAUUAGCUAGUUGGAGGGGUAACGGCCCACCAAGGCGAGGUUCAGUAGCCGGUCUGGGAGGAUGAACGGCCACAAUGGGACUGGGACAAGGCCCAAACUCCUACGGGAGGCAGGAGGGGGGAAUCUUCCGAAAUGGACGAAAGUCUGACGGAGCAACGCCGCGGGAGUGAUGACGGCCUUCGGGUUGGAAAGCUCUGUUAAUCGGGACGCGGUACCGGAAUAGAAAGCCACGGCUAACUACGUGCCAGCAGCCGCGGUAAUAC
rnacentral:rRNA from 1 species